rnacentral:misc_RNA from 1 species
GAUGAAGAACGCAGCGAAAUGCGAUAAGUAAUGUGAAUUGCAGAAUUCAGUGAAUCAUCGAAUCUUUGAACGCACCUUGCGCCCUUUGGCCAUUCCGAAGGGCAUGCCUGUUUGAGUAUCAUGAACACCUCAACUCUUUAUGGUUUUCCAUGAUGAGCUUGGACUCUGGGGGUUUUGCUGGCUCACAGUCGGCUCCUCUAAAAUGAGUCAGCUUACCAGUGUUUGGUGGGUAUUAUGGGUGAGAUAACUAUCUACGCUUGUGGUUUUUCCACCAGGUAACCUUCAGCAGUGGAGGUUCGUUGGAGCUCAUAGAUGUCUCUCCUCAGUGAGGACAGCCCUUUGAAUGUUUGAUCUCAAAUCAGGUAGGACUACCCGCUGAACUUAAGCAUAUCGAUAAGCGGAGGA